rnacentral:rRNA from 1 species
CUAAUACCGCAUAAGCCCACGACCCGGCAUCGAGUAGAGCGAAAAGGAGCAAUCCGCUUUGAGAUGGCCUCGCGUCCGAUUAGCUAGUUGGUGAGGUAACGGCCCACCAAGGCGACGAUCGGUAGCCGGACUGAGAGGUUGAACGGCCACAUUGGGACUGAGACACGGCCCAGACUCCUACGGGAGGCAGCAGUGGGGAAUAUUGCACAAUGGGGGAAACCCUGAUGCAGCGACGCCGCGUGGAGGAAGAAGGUCUUCGGAUUGUAAACUCCUGUUGUUGAGGAAGAUAAUGACGGUACUCAACAAGGAAGUGACGGCUAACUACGUGCCAGCAGCCGCGGUAAAACGUAGGUCACAAGCGUUGUCCGGAAUUACUGGGUGUAAAGGGAGCGCAGGCGGGAAGACAAGUUGGAAGUGAAAUCCAUGGGCUCAACCCAUGAACUGCUUUCAAAACUGUUUUUCUUGAGUAGUGCAGAGGUAGGCGGAAUUCCCGGUGUAGCGGUGGAAUGCGUAGAUAUCGGGAGGAACACCAGUGGCGAAGGCGGCUUACUGGACGGUAACUGACGUUGAGGCUCGAAAGCGUGGGUAGCAAACAGGAUUAGAUACCCUGGUAGUCCACGCCGUAAACGA